rnacentral:misc_RNA from 1 species
AAAGUCGUAACAAGGUUUCCGUAGGUGAACCUGCGGAAGGAUCAUUAACACGUAUCCAUACGUAUUAUAUACCAAACCGUGAACCUGUUUGUAAAUAAAUGAAAAAGGAGGAAGUGAGAAAGAAAAAGUCUUCGGACCUUUCUGGAUUACGACUUUCUUUUGUACCUUAUUUCAACUUAUAAACCACUUGUAACCAUUUGUACUAAAACAUCUAAGAAAAAGUGUAGCGGUAACACGCCUCAUUUUUUUUUGUAUUUACGAAACGUAAAAACAAUUCUUAGCAACGGAUAUCUUGGUUCUC